rnacentral:rRNA from 1 species
UACGAAGGGGGCUAGCGUUGUUCGGAAUUACUGGGCGUAAAGGGCGCGUAGGCGGUGUGUCAAGUCAGGCGUGAAAGCCCCGGGCUCAACCUGGGAACAGCGCUUGAGACUGGCACGCUCGAGUUCGGGAGAGGAUGGUGGAAUUCCCAGUGUAGAGGUGAAAUUCGUAGAUAUUGGGAAGAACACCGAUGGCGAAGGCAGCCAUCUGGACCGACACUGACGCUGAGGCGCGAAAAGCGUGGGGGAGCAAACAGG